rnacentral:rRNA from 1 species
UACGUAGGGGGCUAGCGUUGUCCGGAAUCAUUGGGCGUAAAGAGCGUGUAGGCGGUCCGGUAAGUCCGCUGUGAAAGUCGGGGGCUCAACCCUCGAAUGCCGGUGGAUACUGUCGGGCUAGAGUGCGGAAGAGGCGAGUGGAAUUCCUGGUGUAGCGGUGAAAUGCGCAGAUAUCAGGAAGAACACCCGUGGCGAAGGCGGCUCUCUGGGACGGUACUGGACGCUGAGACGCGAAAGCGUGGGGAGCGAACAGG